GGAAUCAAAGAGCGGUUACUUUUCGGUCUCGUGCACAACCACGCCUUAAGGUCAUUCCAUUUUUUUCCCCCCUCACUCGAGUGCUUACAAUUUAGAUGAGACGUCGAAAUGAGUCCCGCUACUAAACUGUUUCAAAAUACAACAACUGCCCAAAAGUGCCAGGAAAAAUCAACUCACUCAUCACCGAUACGCUUAGUGUUGUCGCCCGUGUGUAUUCAUUCUAUUGUUAUUAGAAGAGUUAAAAAUAAAGUCUUUAGUUCCUGCUUCUUAGCAACACAAGCCCGUUAUCACAAGAAAGAUCCUGAAAAAGUGUUCACUUCCUCACAGAACCCGGCAACUGGGAUGAAAAACAAAUGUCGGACAGUGUAAAUUGCUUUCAAUAUAACAAGGUGGGAGAAAUGAGUGUUGGGUGUUUCAAUUUUCCACCCGUCCAAGCAUUUUUCGGAAUUUCAGUACAUUGUUGAUCCCUCAAUUAUCAGUGCCAUGGAUCAUAUUGACACAGAAAAUAGGUAGUGAAAACGUCACAUCCCUGACCGGGCAAUUUGCAGCAUUCCUUUGCAUUCAAGAGCUUUCCUGACUCUGUCAUGAUUUGAAAUGGCUUGAAAAAGGCGUGGAAACUGUUACUACCUCGGAAUAUUGUCAGGUCGGCUCAAUUGAAGUGUAAAAGUGGCUUUUGAUGGCACCCAAUUGCGGGGCCAACCCAUCUCCUCCUCUUUGUAAGAGCCACACGCAAAAAGGCUGACUUUCAAAUGGUCUGAAAGGAGCUUCUCUUACUGCCUCCCAAGGUGCAACGAUGCCGGGUCGACACACCGGCAGGGCAAAAAGGGUUUCUGAGCGUCACCACAAAAAUGCCAGAUAUCAAAAGGCGCAAAAUGGGCUUUUGUUGCAA